rnacentral:rRNA from 1 species
GACGAACGCUGGCGGCGUGCUUAACACAUGCAAGUCGAACGGAAAGGCCCCCUUGUGGGGUACUCGAGUGGCGAACGGGUGAGUAACACGUGAGUAACCUACCCUUGACUUUGGGAUAACUUCAGGAAACUGGGGCUAAUACCGGAUAGGAGCUCCUGCUGCAUGGUGGGGGUUGGAAAGUUUCGGCGGUUGGGGAUGGACUCGCGGCUUAUCAGCUUGUUGGUGAGGUAGUGGCUCACCAAGGCUUUGACGGGUAGCCGGCCUGAGAGGGUGACCGGCCACAUUGGGACUGAGAUACGGCCCAGACUCCUACGGGAGGCAGCAGUGGGGAAUAUUGCACAAUGGGCGGAAGCCUGAUGCAGCAACGCCGCGUGCGGGAUGACGGCCUUCGGGUUGUAAACCGCUUUCGCCUGUGACGAAGCGUGAGUGACGGUAAUGGGUAAAGAAGCACCGGCUAACUACGUG